UGCCGGUGAUAAGCCGAGAGGAAGGUGGGGAUGACGUCAAGUCCUCAUGGCCCUUACGGGCUGGGCUACACACGUGCUACAAUGGUGGUGACAGUGGGCAGCGAGAUCGCGAGGUCGAGCUAAUCUCCAAAAGCCAUCUCAGUUCGGAUUGCACUCUGCAACUCGAGUGCAUGAAGUUGGAAUCGCUAGUAAUCGCAGAUCAGCAUGCUGCGGUGAAUACGUUCCCGGGCCUU
rnacentral:rRNA from 1 species